rnacentral:miRNA from 14 species
CAGGCGUUUGUGUUGAGCACAUU